rnacentral:rRNA from 1 species
UACGUAGGGUGCAGGCGUUAAUCGGAAUUACUGGGCGUAAAGCGUGCGCAGGCGGUUUGCUAAGAGAGAUGUGAAAUCCCCGGGCUUAACCUGGGAACUGCGCUUCUAACUGGCAGGCUUGAGUGUGGCAGAGGGGGGUGGAAUUCCACGUGUAGCAGUGAAAUGCGUAGAGAUGUGGAGGAACACCGAUGGCGAAGGCAGCCCCCUGGGCUAACACUGACGCUCAUGCACGAAAGCGUGGGGAGCAAACAGG